rnacentral:rRNA from 1 species
UUCGCAAUGCCCGAAAGGGUGACGAAGCGACGCCGCGUGGGUGAGGAAGGCCUUCGGGUUGUAAAGCCCUGUCAGGAGUUAAGAAAUGUAAGUGUGCUAAUAUCGCAUUUACUUGACGAAGGCUCCAAAGGAAGUCACGGCUAACUCUGUGCCAGCAGCCGCGGUAAUACAGAGGUGGCAAGCGUUGUUCGGAAUUAUUGGGCGUAAAGAGCACGUAGGUGGGUUUGUAAGUCAGAUGUGAAAGCCUCCUGUUCAACGGGAGAAUUGCAUCUGAAACUACUGAUCUUGAGUAUAGGAGGGGAGAAUGGAACUUCUGGUGGAGCGGUGAAAUGCGUAGAUAUCAGAAGGAACGUCGGCGGCGAAAGCGACUCUCUGGCCUAUUACUGACACUGAGUGUGCGAAAGUUAGGGGAGCAAACGGGAUUAGAUACCCCGGUAGUCCUAACUGUAAACGAUGGGCACUAAGUAGAGGGGUUUU